GUGUGUGUGUGUGUGUGUGUGUAGCACCUAUGUUCUGUGCCUAACAUCUGGAGGUUACAGGAUAACCCUAUGAAGUCAUUCUCUCCAACCACUUUGAAGGACACAGGGAUUGAACACUGUUCCUUACUCCUCCAAAUGUUUUUGCAGGUGGGGAACCUAAUGGACAAGAAGCAGUGUCAGAACUUGUUGGAGAACUCUAUGACUGCUCUGGGGAAAUGGGAGCCUUGACCUCGGCCCACACUUGUGCUGUUCUCCUUCUUUGGAUGCCAGUCAGGACAACGAGAUCUCUGUCCCUCAGAAUUGCCUUGGUUGUUGAUUUAGGCAAUCUCCAACAUCUCAGCUUAGUUCUCUGGCUUUAGAUCUGAUUGAAUCUUAGCAUUCUAGAUGAUUUACCCCUGUUCUUUAUGCCCAGUUUACUUUACCAAACUUAAUGUGGCUGUAACAGUAAGUAUGUAACAUUUUAGGACAUGGCUACCCCCAUUGGCAUACUCAGAGCCUUUGCCCAAGGGUGCUCUCAUUUACCUGUGAGGAGAGCAAGCCAGGAACUUUUAUCCCUACUCAGGGAUGAGAACAAACUAAAUUUCAGAGCAUGACUGCCACAGUGUGGUCCCUGAGCCUGGAAGCUCCUGGCUCCACUGUUCAAGCUUCUUUGUUUAUUCUGUGUUGGGACCUUUUCCAUCCCUUACUUGGUAGUGUCAACAGACCCUUCUAUGGAAACUGGAGUCCAGAAAGCCCAGGGCAGGCUUUCCAGCGGGAUCUUGACCCAUGUUGGCUCUCCUGGCUUUCAUCCCUGCCUUCAUCAGUAACAUACUCAUAUCUGUCCUUAGAGCUCUUCUGCUCCUGUGCGCUGCACUCAGUGAGGAGGUUGGGAGCAAGUGUAAAAUGAAUGAAAUACAGGCUCUGGAUUCUAUCAGAAACCUGCAUCACACCCCUGAAGCUCUGAGAAGCCAACAACCAGUUCAAGAACAAAUAUUCUCUGAGGACGUGAAGACAAGGGAACACUAACAAAUCCAUAUAGUCCUAUCUCCCAGAAGACAGGUCAAGGUGUUCCUGUCAGAAGGGUGGGUGAUAUGAGCCACUCAGAACUUCACUAUGAAACAGAAAGCCUACGCUCGGAUUACUUUUCCCACAGUCUUCCUCAGGCUGGUCUUAGAACUGAAGAUCACCCAGGACAUCCUCUUUUAGCUAAGUAUGAAGAACAGGGUACUUAGUGUGUUCGGGACUGCCUGGGAAGGGAUGCCCAUGUGAGGAAGAAAUCUGACCACCAGGUGGAAGGCACUCAAGUGACCCCAGAACGGUAAAAUUAAAAACCAUCUAAGAAUCAACAGUACAAUGAGAGAGAAAAGAGCCUACAAGCUGCAUGAAUUCAGGCAAGUUCUGCAAUGUCUGAGGUCCACUGUUCUUUGCCAAGUGAGAGACCAUCUCUACAGGCUUUGCCAUGCAGAGACCCCUUGGACAGGCAUUCAUAUGCUGAUCAGAGACUAGGCUGCAUGACUCCCUACACCGAACACUGUGCCUGUGUCUGAGACCGAGUUAAGGUGCACUGUGUCCUUGUGAGAAAAAGGAAAACAAGGCUGAAUAAGGUCUCUCCUGAGGCUGGGGAUGCAGCCUGAGGAAACAUUCCACACAAAACAUUGAGGAGGGUCUUACUACCUCAGACACACCUCUCCAGAAACACCCUCAGAUAUGUGCCCAGUUUUCUUCCUCUUUUGCAAAUCUAGUUCCUGCCACAGUACCUAGAAUCCAGUCUCAACCUCAGAUGUCAUUAUUUAGGGCCCUGCUGCCCACAGGGCCUUCACAUUCCAGCUGUAUUGACUGGUUCUCCAGGAAGAGGUGGAUCUCUCUUGCUUGACUGCUGCUCCUUCCUCAAGUCAGAGGACCUCUUUGCUUCAGCCACCUGAGAAGAGGCCAAUACCAUGACACCUACCACGGCAUGGGCAGCAAUGCCAGCAGAAUCAUUAGACUCUCCAUGUGACUAUUUUAGAGUCCCUCUGAAUGAUACCAGGGCAUUUUUGGCUAUGGAGAAAUAUCCCUCCCUCUGCAAGAGUGACCCCAGGUCACCUCUAUAUGGGACUCAGAAAAAAUGCUCUACUCCCUCAGACAUUCUGUCUCAUUGCUGAGACCACCAGGGCAGGAGGACAACCCACGAUCUGCUGAGCCAUCUGCACCUGGCAAGGCCACCCUUUCUCUACUAAAUAAAGGGCACUGGAGUCGCCAUUGUUUAGUGUGUGUGUGUUUUCUCAGUUCUAACAAAGGUAGGCAAAGUACUCUGGGGUGGCGCAGGUAAGGCAGUCACAUGAGGCAGUGGAGCUGGCACAUGGUGUACACAGCCCCAGGAUAUCAAAAGAGGUGACACAAGAUGAAGGGCAGUUGUCCAACCACUCGGCCCUCUGUGGACAGCAGGAACUUCAGAGGUCCACCUGCCCAGGAGCCUCUCGGGCUGUCCCUGCUGGAGUGAAUGAGGAAGGCCCUGUCCUGCCUAGGGUUGCUGGUCUAUAAUUAAAAUCACAUCUUUGUUGGGCACAUUAUUCUAUUGGGUCAUACAUUCAAAUGUUUGGACAUAACUGGUCAUGGUUGUCAGUGAAGCUUCCUAAAUGCAUUUUGUCUUCUCUGAAUCAGACAGGGAAAAUUAGACCUGUACCUGUCCUAGGGUCCCCAACGUCAAUCAAAGGAAAAGGAGCCCCGAUUCUCAAGAGGAGGAUGGUUGUUUUGAGGGUGCUCAUUUGGAAUUUCAGAACAGAGAGGAGACUUAGCUAUCAAGAUUGUGAAGAACUCUUAACAUGAGGGAUUCUUUGCAUAGAGAUUUCAUUCCUGUCCUUGGAAAAUCCCUCCAUGAGUGAGCCAAAUGUAGGGAGAUCCAAGAGUUUAAUCUCCAUCCCAAGGUGAUGCCCAGGUUAUCUCAGAUAAGAAAAGUUAAAUAAAGUGCAUCUCUCAUCAGCUCCCUUCCUUCCUGUACACAGGGUAUCUCUCACUAGUUUCCUGCUUUUUUGCCUGUACAAAAGCCCAACUGGAAUGUGACUUCUCUCUGGGGCCAAGACGACUCAGAUUCAACAUCUUUUAAGGAAUUAGAUUAGGACAGGGUGCAGUAGAAGUUGGGAUCCUUCUGUCUAAGUGCUUAGUGGUAGAAUUUUCCAGUUCUUUAGAGAGGGAGAUAAAGGUGUGUUGAUAUAUCUAAGAGUUUCCUGUGUUCAGAGACAGGGAAAUUCCCUGGACUCUGUAAGUUCUCUGCAUUUCCUAGGCACCCUACAUAGCUAACUAGGAGAGUUUCAUGGUGUGAAAAGCAUUAAAAUAGGAAGAAGGGGUGGGAAACAACCAAUAAAUUGUGAAUAUUGCCAUGCAUUUAA